rnacentral:lncRNA from 1 species
UCCUGUCCCUCCGUGGUUCAAGUACUGGAAAUCAACUUUUUGAUCAAAAACGAUGGUCAUGUAGGACGGUCCGUCAUUCACUCUACGGGGUGUCGUUUGCCUCCGUGGUUCCACACUUGUUCAGACUUCCUUGAACUCACAUCCACGAGCCAUCACCUACAGCCCGUCACUGGACCUACGGUCCGUGGUUUGGCUCCGUCAACUGCUACUGCUGCCACUUCAAUUCUUUUCUCUCUCAACCACUUUCGAACCAAUUUCCUGCAAAGAUUACAUAAAACCAUUAUAUCUACUAACAAAACAACCCAAGACACACACAAACUCUAAGUGAAAUGCAUCAAAAAUAUCAUAAACUGACGGUAUAUCAACACCCUCAACUUAAACUUGUUGUUUGUCCUCAAGCGACACAUUAAAAACUCUAAACGACACUUCAUGUAGAAGCAAACAUACAAACUCAAACAAUCACAUGGCUUUCUCAAUCAUUUCUAUCACUUGUGCAAAUCUUUUCAUUUAGACUCAACAGGACAGGCUAACUCAUGCGGAUCAAAAUAUGACAUACACAGACAAAUAGAUAUCACCACAUACACUUUCAACAAUCACCUAGGUACCAACUCUCCAACAAUGUAACUAGUGCCCUCACUUCAAAGAAAUCAUUUUUCACACAACAGCUCUGAUUUUUAAGCUUAAGGAUUCAGUUAACACUCACGCUCAGAAGUGAAUUCAAAUACAAUUAGUGCUCAAUAUCAUAGGCUUGCCCUUAUUUUCACUGCACAUACUCUCCAAGCUAGUCACUAAGAUCACUAUAGGACUUUAUUAGCAUGUAACGUAGGCUCAGAGUCAGGUAGGAUACAUUUGGAAACUUUUAGUGACUUUUCUGCCCUCCUUGACAUUACAUUGGCUAUUUACCUCUUUUCUCAACCAAUUCUGGCAUAAUUUUUUAUUUUCUACUUUUCUCCUUGCUUUCUUCAGCACAUAUAUGACUUGACUUUUUCAUUCUUCUUUUUCCACUUUUUCUUUUUCUUUUACUUCUUCUUUCUUUGUUUUUCAGCAUCAUUAUCAUUCUUUUUGUUUCUCUUGAAUUUAGUCACACCUUUUUCUAUCCCUUUUCUUCUUCUAUACACAACUCUUUUCAUACCCUUUUCUUUCAGUUUCCUUUUUCAUAGCCACCCUCAACUUAUGUAUAUUGCAUGAGUUGAGGUGCACAAUAUCCGAGGUCGGACCAGGGCCAAGAUUAAAGUAACUUUUGAAUUAGUCACCCUCAACUUAGGCUUUUGGGCUAAGUUAAGGUGCACAUGUCCAAGGAUGGACCAGGGCUAAAAUAGUCUUUAAGGGAAGGUGAGUUAGUGUAUUGAAUGAUGUGGUAUUCAUUAGGCUCAAACAAUUGGAUCAAAGGGAGCAUUUAUUUCUUUUGGUUGGAUCUUUCUAGGCUUAAGUGGACUUAUUUGAACAAGGGCCUAUGAUCAUUUCCCAAUUUCUAGCCUAGAUUAUCUUAGCAGGACCAAUGAGGCAAGUUCUAGAUUGACACAUACUGCAUGAACAUACAAUUUCCUCACACACACUUGGCACGUUGAUUCAUUAUCGAAUUAUUGAAGCACCUAGUUCAAGUUUUAGCUUAAGCCAUGCUAUUCUACUGGUUCCUAUCAUGUCACAUCCAGAUCCAACACAUUCAACUAAUAAAGCCCAUAGAUCUAGCACAUUUCAAAUUUUUUGGACGGGUAUCAAUUUCAUGCUCUUAUGACAUCAUGCUUUCAUUCUUUCUAUCUACUUCUACACAUACAAUCCUACACAUGCCGGUUCAACAGAAAACUAAAACAGACCCUUGGGGAAAAAGAACACAGGCAAGAAAACCCCAAGGGAGGGUUAUGAGUUAGGUUACUCAAACUUCACCCUAUCACACACAACCUAUUUACCCCACCCCCACGAAAAAAUGGUGCAAUUUCCCUCAAUGCACAAAAAAAGAAAAAUAAAGCAUAGGGUGAAGCAAACCUGUGGCGCAUACGCGUUGAUGACCCAUCAAGAAGCGGGUGGGUCUGAUUUCUCGGAACCCACUGGAUCAGCAAUAGGAACGCCAUUUGUAACACCCUCAUCAACAAUGGGAACAUCCUUAGUAGUGCUCCUCGACCC